rfam:Schistosoma curassoni strain Dakar, Senegal genome assembly, scaffold: SCTD_scaffold0001547
AUCCAGCCGACGCGUCCCAAAUAGGACGAAACGCGCGUUCUGGAU